UACGGAGGGUCCAAGCGUUAUCCGGAAUCAUUGGGUUUAAAGGGUCCGUAGGCGGUUUUGGAAGUCAGUGGUGAAAGCCCAUCGCUCAACGGUGGAACGGCCAUUGAUACUGCAAGACUUGAAUUAUUGUGAAGUAACUAGAAUAUGUAGUGUAGCGGUGAAAUGCUUAGAGAUUACAUGGAAUACCAAUUGCGAAGGCAGGUUACUAACAAUAUAUUGACGCUGAUGGACGAAAGCGUGGGUAGCGAACAGG
rnacentral:rRNA from 1 species